rnacentral:rRNA from 1 species
AGUGAGGAAUUUUCUGCAAUGGGCGAAAGCCUGACAGAGCAAUACCGCGUGAGGGAUGAAGGCCUAUGGGUUGUAAACCUCUUUUCUCAAGGAGGAAGAUAUGACGUUACUUGAGGAAUAAGCAUCGGCUAACCCUGCGCCAGCAGCCGCGGUAAUACAGGGGAUGCAAGUGUUAUCCGGAAUCAUUGGGCGUAAAGCGUCUGCAGGUUGACUUUUAAGUCUUUUGUUAAAGCUCUGGGCUUAACCUAGAAUAUGCAAAGGAAACUAUCUGUCUUGAGUAUGGUAGAGGUAAAGGGAAUUUCCAGUGGAGCGGUGAAAUGCUUAGAUAUUGGAAAGAACACCAACAGCGAAGGCACUUUACUGGGCCAGUACUGACACUGAGAGACGAAAGCUAGGGGAGCAAACGGGAUUAGAUACCCCGGUAGUCCUAGCUGUAAACGAUGGAUACUAGAUGUUGUGCUUAAGAAAAAGUACAGUGUCGUAGCUAACGCGUUAAGUAUCCCGCCUGGGAAGUAUGCUCGCAAGAGUG